AUGCAGUACGGUCAGUGCCACCGUGCAGCUCAUUGGUGGCGUGCGUGUGGUUGGCGGCUAGCAGCGUGCAGUUUGAUACAUCUAUGUUAUAGUUCUUUUGCUGUGUGUUUGUGUUGGGCCAAAGUGUGCAGGGCAAAUAGGGCUUGCGUGCUGUCCAGAGCUCCUCUCCUCCUGAUGGUAUCUACCUUGGAUUCGAAACAAGGUUCGCUGGGUGUGCGUGUGUCGCUCGGCGCACAACACGUGCACUUCACUAUUGUGGGGAUUGUUGUUGUUGGAAAUGUGUGUAAUUAUUCAGUUGAGAAGUUCAUUUUAAGAUGCAUCGAUGGUUUCAUUUUUCAUGAAAAAUGUUAUGAUUCAGUCCACUUCAAGGAGCCCCGAGGUUCACUUUGUUCUGUAUGA
rnacentral:rRNA from 1 species